AAGUCGUAACAAGGUUUCCGUAGGUGAACCUGCGGAAGGAUCAUUAGCAAGAUUGCGACCCUCGCAAGAGGCGAGCAAGUAUGCCAUCCUUGUGUUAUGUCUACACCGUUCGUGUUGUACCUUUGUGUGUGCGUUUGCGCGCGCGCACAACUGUGCACACUGUCUUAACAACCAUUCUUUUAUACCUUCUUAACCUCUUUUUGCUUGGCAACAAGCAUCAAAACAAUCGAAAACUGCCAGCAAUGGAUCACUCGGUUCUC
rnacentral:misc_RNA from 1 species